AAUGGGCUGGGGAUAUAGCUU
rnacentral:piRNA from 1 species